CCUACGGGUGGCAGCAGUGAGGAAUAUUGGUCAAUGGGCGGAAGCCUGAACCAGCCAAGUCGCGUGAGGGAUUAAGGCCCUGCGGGUCGUAAACCUCUUUUGCCGGGGAGCAGAGGUCCGGACGUGUCCGGGCCGGGAGAGUACCCGGAGAAAAAGCAUCGGCUAACUCCGGGCCGGCGGCCGCGGUAAUACGGGGGAUGCGAGCGUUAUCGGGAUUUAUUGGGUUUAAAGGGUGCGUAGGCGGGCAUUUAAGCCGGCGGGCAAAUGUGGGGGCCAAACCCCGGCCUGCCGUCGGAACUGGGUGCCUUGAGUGGGCGAGAAGUAUGCGGAAUUCGUGGUGUAGCGGUGAAAUGCAUAGAUAUCACGCAGAACCCCGAUUGCGAAGGCAGCAUACCGGCGCCCUACUGACGCUGAGGCACGAAAGUGCGGGUAUCGAACAGGAUUAGAUACCCCGGUAGUC
rnacentral:rRNA from 1 species